rnacentral:rRNA from 1 species
GACGAACGCUGGCGGCGUGCUUAACACAUGCCAGUCGAACGGAAAGGCCCUGCUUGCAGGGUGCUCGAGUGGCGAACGGGUGAGUAACACGUGGGUGAUCUGCCCCUUACUUUGGGAUAAGCCUGGGAAACUGGGUCUAAUACUGGAUAGGACCAUGCUGUAGGUGGUGUGGUGGAAAGAUUAGUUUCGGUAAGGGAUGAGCUCGCGGCCUAUCAGCUUGUUGGUGGGGUAAUGGCCUACCAAGGCGUCGACGGGUGGCCGGCCUGAGAGGGUGGACGGCCACAUUGGGACUGAGAUACGGCCCAGACUCCUACGGGAGGCAGCAGUGGGGAAUAUUGCACAAUGGGCGCAAGCCUGAUGCAGCGACGCCGCGUGGGGGAUGACGGCCUUCGGGUUGUAAACUCCUUUCAGCCAUGACGAAGCCCUUGUGGUGACGGUAGUGGUAGAAGAAGCACCGGCUAACUACGUG